CGAACGGGUGAGUAACGCGUGAGGAACCUGCCUCAAAGAGGGGGACAACAGUUGGAAACGACUGCUAAUACCGCAUAAGCCCACGGCUCGGCAUCGAGCGGAGGGAAAAGGAGCAAUCCGCUUUGAGAUGGCCUCGCGUCCGAUUAGCUAGUUGGUGAGGUAAUGGCCCACCAAGGCAACGAUCGGUAGCCGGACUGAGAGGUUGAACGGCCACAUUGGGACUGAGACACGGCCCAG
rnacentral:rRNA from 1 species